GACAUAGGUCGCAAACGUUAUCCGGAAUUACUGGGCGUAAAGGGCGCGUAGGCGGCCUUCUAAGUCGAACGUGAAAUCCCCGGGCUCAACCCGGGAACUGCGUCCGAUACUGGAAGGCUUGAAUCCGGGAGAGGGAUGCGGAAUUCCAGGUGUAGCGGUGAAAUGCGUAGAUAUCUGGAGGAACACCGGUGGCGAAGGCGGCAUCCUGGACCGGCAUUGACGCUGAACAGCGAAAGCCAGGGGAGCAAACGGG
rnacentral:rRNA from 1 species